GACGAGCCACACGAACGUUAUUCGGAAUUACUGGGCUUAAAGGGUGCGUAGGCGGUGCGGAAAGUUGGGUGUGAAAUCCCUCGGCUCAACCGAGGAACUGCGCCCAAAACUACCGCACUCGAGGAAGAUAGAGGUGAGCGGAACUUACGGUGGAGCGGUGAAAUGCGUUGAUACCGUAAGGAACACCCGUGGCGAAAGCGGCUCACUGGGUCUUUUCUGACGCUGAUGCACGAAAGCUAGGGGAGCAAACGGG
rnacentral:rRNA from 1 species